UACGAAGGGGGCUAGCGUUGCUCGGAAUUACUGGGCGUAAAGCGCACGUAGGCGGAUUGUUAAGUCGGGGGUGAAAUCCUGGAGCUCAGCUCCAGAACUGCCUUCGAUACUGGCGAUCUCGAGUUCGGGAGAGGUGAGUGGAACUGCGAGUGUAGAGGUGAAAUUCGUAGAUAUUCGCAAGAACACCAGUGGCGAAGGCGGCUCACUGGCCCGAUACUGACGCUGAGGUGCGAAAGCGUGGGGAGCAAACAGG
rnacentral:rRNA from 1 species